rnacentral:rRNA from 1 species
CCUACGGGAGGCAGCAGUGGGGAAUAUUGCACAAUGGGGGGAACCCUGAUGCAGCGACGCCGCGUGAGUGAAGAAGUAUUUCGGUAGGUAAAGCUCUAUCAGCAGGGAAGAAAAUGACGGUACCUGACUAAGAAGCCCCGGCUAACUACGUGCCAGCAGCCGCGGUAAUACGUAGGGGGCAAGCGUUAUCCGGAUUUACUGGGUGUAAAGGGAGCGUAGACGGGUAUGCAAGUCUGAAGUGAAAGCCCAAGGCUCAACCAUGGGACUGCUUUGGAAACUGUAGAACUGACAUGCAGGAGAGGUAAGCGGAAUUCCUAGUGUAGCGGUGGAAUGCGUAGAUAUUAGGAGGAACACCAGGGGCGAAGGCGGCUUACUGGACUGUAACUGACGGUGAGGCUCGAAGGGGUGGGGAGCAAACAGGAUUAGAUACCCGAGGAGGC